GAUGAAGAACGCAGCGAAGUGCGAUAAGUAAUGUGAAUUGCAGAAUUCCGUGAAUCAUCGAAUCUUUGAACGCAUAUUGCACUUUCUGGUAUUCCGGAAAGUAUGCCUGUUUGAGGGUCAGUUAAAUAAAAAUCGGUGUUGUUGCUACUUUUAGUGGUGAUGCAUCGGAAUUGAGUUGUCUUUACCUUUGGUUAGUGACUUAAAAUUAUGUACGAUUUUUGAACGUAUUUAAAUUGUUUACGUAUGUUCAUAAUAUCAUAUAUUAGGUGCGAUCAUUCUUAUGAUUUCGCGUCUAUAAUUUUUCAUUAUUUGACCUCAAAUCAGGUAAGAGUACCCGCUGAACUUAAGCAUAUCAAUACGCGGAGGA
rnacentral:misc_RNA from 1 species